rnacentral:rRNA from 1 species
UACGUAGGUGGCAAGCGUUGUCCGGAAUUAUUGGGCGUAAAGCGCGCGCAGGCGGUCUUUUAAGUCUGAUGUGAAAGCCCACGGCUCAACCGUGGAGGGUCAUUGGAAACUGGGAGACUUGAGUGCAGAAGAGAAGAGUGGAAUUCCACGUGUAGCGGUGAAAUGCGUAGAGAUGUGGAGGAACACCAGUGGCGAAGGCGAUUCUCUGGACUGUAAACUGACGCUGAGGCUCGAAAGCGUGGGGAGCAAACAGGAUUAGA